rnacentral:rRNA from 1 species
UCCGUAGGUAAGUAAACAUCGACAACAUGCUCUUUUCCCCUUCAAAAAUCAAUAACUAACAUAAUCCAAGGUGAACCUGCGGAGGGAUCAUUAC